rnacentral:rRNA from 1 species
AGUUUGAUCCUGGCUCAGGAUGAACGCUGGCGGCGUGCCUAACACAUGCAAGUCGAGCGAUUCUCUUCGGAGAAGAGCGGCGGACGGGUGAGUAACGCGUGGGUAACCUGCCCUGUACACACGGAUAACAUACCGAAAGGUAUGCUAAUACGAGAUAAUAUACUUUUAUCGCAUGGUAGAAGUAUCAAAGCUCCGGCGGUACAGGAUGGACCCGCGUCUGAUUAGCUAGUUGGUAAAGUAACGGCUUACCAAGGCGACGAUCAGUAGCCGACCUGAGAGGGUGAUCGGCCACAUUGGAACUGAGACACGGUCCAAACUCCUACGGGAGGCAGCAGUGGGGAAUAUUGCACAAUGGGCGAAAGCCUGAUGCAGCAACGCCGCGUGAGCGAUGAAGGCCUUCGGGUCGUAAAGCUCUGUCCUCAAGGAAGAUAAUGACGGUACUUGAGGAGGAAGCCCCGGCUAACUACGUGCCAGCAGCCGCGGUAAUACGUAGGGGGCUAGCGUUAUCCGGAAUUACUGGGCGUAAAGGGUGCGUAGGUGGUUUCUUAAGUCAGAGGUGAAAGGCUACGGCUCAACCGUAGUAAGCCUUUGAAACUGGGAAACUUGAGUGCAGGAGAGGAGAGUGGAAUUCCUAGUGUAGCGGUGAAAUGCGUAGAUAUUAGGAGGAACACCAGUUGCGAAGGCGGCUCUCUGGACUGUAACUGACACUGAGGCACGAAAGCGUGGGGAGCAAACAGGAUUAGAUACCCUGGUAGUCCACGCCGUAAACGAUGAGUACUAGCUGUCGGAGGUUACCCCCUUCGGUGGCGCAGCUAACGCAUUAAGUACUCCGCCUGGGAAGUACGCUCGCAAGAGUGAAACUCAAAGGAAUUGACG